rnacentral:rRNA from 1 species
GAUGAACGCUGGCGGCGUGCCUAAUACAUGCAAGUCGAGCGAACAGACGAGGAGCUUGCUCCUCUGACGUUAGCGGCGGACGGGUGAGUAACACGUGGAUAACCUACCUAUAAGACUGGGAUAACUUCGGGAAACCGGAGCUAAUACCGGAUAAUAUAUUGAACCGCAUGGUUCAAUAGUGAAAGACGGUUUUGCUGUCACUUAUAGAUGGAUCCGCGCCGCAUUAGCUAGUUGGUAAGGUAACGGCUUACCAAGGCAACGAUGCGUAGCCGACCUGAGAGGGUGAUCGGCCACACUGGAACUGGAACACGGUCCAGACUCCUACGGGAGGCAGCAGUAGGGAAUCUUCCGCAAUGGGGCAAAACCUGACGGAGCAACGCCGCGUGAGUGAUGAAGGUCUUCGGAUCGUAAAACUCUGUUAUUAGGGAAGAACAAAUGUGUAAGUAACUAUGCACGUCUUGACGGUACCUAAUCAGAAAGCCACGGCUAACUACGUG